rnacentral:lncRNA from 1 species
GCCGCGCGCAGGGCUUCCAAGCCCGAGGCCAGGCUGGAUAACGGGACCCGGAGGCCGAAAGCGGAGCUGGCCGACCUGUUCUACAGUGUCUACUCAAGAAGUGUGAGGACCAGCUAGCUACCAUGCCCAGGAGAGGUUUGACUUCUGGCGGUUUCACCUCUGAUGGCUGCACAACCAAACACUGUGACAUCACAUCCUCCCAGCUUGCCCGUGUUGAAGAACUCCGUUUCUUUCAACCCAGGUCGCUAAUGCCUCUGUUGGAGAAUUGUUUUCCUCUCAAAACAACCAGGGGAUGAGCUGAACUGGUAACUCAGGCUUCCAUGGGCUUCCGGUAGCCCUCUAUGCAGCCUGGCACCCCAACUUUCCACCAGCCGGAAGAAAGCUACACUCCUCAGCCUGAGGCAGGUGCUUUCUUCCAGGCCAUCUUCUACCUUCCUGAAGUGCCUUCUCCUGGUCCUUUGGUCCCUUCCUUUGUCUCAGCUGCAUGUGCAAGAUUUUAUAGAAAGUAAAGACAAUCCUUCCAUUACCAGGGUAUGCAGGGCCCUGGAGGAUGUAUUGUUGGAAUUCUGUGGCUUUCUUUCCUUUAAGAAUGUACAGA